GUGGGGAAUAUUGGACAAUGGGCGAAAGCCUGAUCCAGCCAUGCCGCGUGUGUGAAGAAGGUCUUCGGAUUGUAAAGCACUUUAAGUUGGGAGGAAGGGCAGUAAGUUAAUACCUUGCUGUUUUGACGUUACCGACAGAAUAAGCACCGGCUAACUUCGUGCCAGCAGCCGCGGUAAUACGAAGGGUGCAAGCGUUAAUCGGAAUUACUGGGCGUAAAGCGCGCGUAGGUGGUUUUGUAAGUUGGAGGUGAAAUCCCCGGGCUCAACCUGGGAACUGCUUUCAAAACUGCUGAGCUAGAGUACGGUAGAGGGUGGUGGAAUUUCCUGUGUAGCGGUGAAAUGCGUAGAUAUAGGAAGGAACACCAGUGGCGAAGGCGACCACCUGGACUGAUACUGACACUGAGGUGCGAAAGCGUGGGGAGCAAACAGGAUUAGAAACCCCGGUAGUCC
rnacentral:rRNA from 1 species